GAACCCUGGCUGCAAGCCCGCAAUUGACUGAUGAAGGUCUAGAUAAGAGUGCCUUUGUUGUGGCCUGCAAGACAUAUAUUAUGAAACUCUGCACAGAAAUUUCCGGUACAGCCAAUCAGAGCUAGUCAGUGUGGCUGCAUCUACUAAGACCUUAGCCCGGAGUCGCCAGAGGAGGAAGAGGCUGUUGGAGGCUAGGCAGAGUGUACUGGCUGCGGACGAGGUGGACUUCUGGAGGGGCAUCACUGCUGACAUGAUGUCUGAUGAAGAAGACGGUACUAUUGAUGGAGUGUCGGGGUGGGUUGUGAGAACUCCAUCGUUCCGCAGCCAGGAGCUCAGCAUUCUGUGUUCCACUCUGCAAGCAAGACUGGAAGCUACUACAAAGCAUGCAGCACUGCAUCACCAGCGUCUGCGGGGUGGAUUACCUUCUGGUAGAUUGUCACUGCAAACUUAUGACUCAGAGGCGGCAAAAAAGCACAUGAAGCCAAGCCACGUAUGAUGCCCUAUCCAAGACUGUAGCCUCUGGCUAACUGACAAACUUGCUUGUGUGUGUGUGCGCAUGUUUUUACCUAUUGUUUAUCAAUAAAGUGCUUUUAUUUAAUCAACAUGUCCCAAAUGUUUGUUUUCUUUCCCUAAUGUUCAUGCAUAUCCUAUGUUAGUCUGUAUUGUU